rnacentral:rRNA from 1 species
GUUUGACCUCAAAUCAGGUAGGAGUACCCGCUGAACUUAAGCAUAUCAUAGCGGAGGAAA